rnacentral:rRNA from 1 species
AUGAAGUGGGUUGACUGGAAGUAUAUUGAUGCUAAUGAAGAUCAUUUCCCAGGAGUGCAUGAGAGCUUCAAGCUCAAUGGUGUUGACAAAUUUGUGGGACAAAAGCUGACCAAAUGGAAUGAUGAGCUCAUUAUGCAGUUUUACUCUACAACUCAUUUUUAUCCAGAUGGUAAGAUAGUGUGGAUGACUAAAGGAACAAGGUAUCAGUCUACAGUGGAUGAGUGGGAAAAGCUCAUCAAAGCACCCAAGGAGCAUGAGAAAGACAUUGAUGUUUAUGCUAAGAAAAAGAAAAACCACAACUCCAUGGCAAACAUGUACAAGGAAAUACCUGACAAAGCUUUGGAGACUCACAAGCUAGGGUCAGUGUACUACCAGAUGUCUAGUCUGGCCAGUAUGAACAUAGUAUUGACGCACACCUUGUUUCCCAAAUUAGGAGAUCACAGGAUGAUCAGAGGCCAUUCCAUCAAUCUGCUUCAGAUGUUUGAUUUGCCAUAG